rnacentral:lncRNA from 1 species
GUCUUUGAUGGCAUUGAGAUCAUUGGGACCAGACGUGAAUGCCUGAACUGCAGUCCAGCGUUGGCUGACACAAAGUGGAGGCCCAGGGUCUGGUCCAACAUCAGUGGAUAUAAAUUGGAAUCCUCCUUGAUUCCAGUGGGCUUGGGCUCAGGUUUGCUUUUGUGGAGAAGUAAUUCCUUGGCUCUGGCAGAUCAACUCCUGCUCCACCUGACAAGUAAGCUUGAGGAGGCGGCGUGCAGCAGCAUCAUCGCCCUCAUGCUCCUUUCCUCAUUGGCUUUCUCAUCAAGGGCGAGUAUGUGGGAAGCCAUCCCUGUGCACUUUUUCAUGACUUUUUUCCAUUUUCAAGUUGUGUAGCGCCCACAGAAAGGUGUCUAGAGUUGGUGGGCUGCCCAGUUCCCUGCCUGGCUGUCUGGGUUGGAAGAAAAAGGAGGCAUUGCAAACUAAAAACAGAAUUUUUCAAGGCCGAAUUCUUCCUCCACUGAUUAGUUGAUCUUUCCUGAACUGAUCAUCAAAGUGAACGUGGACAUGGGUGUCACUCUACCUUUUUUAAGCUGAAUUUUUCCUAUAUGAGAAGCUAAACAACUCUUUCUGAUCUUGAGUAGAUUUUUUGACUUCUCUACGCUAUCUGAGGAAGGCUAUUCAGCCCUUCCUUCGAAGGUUUUAUUCCCAUUCCAACCCACCCCCACCACCCACCCACAAGCAACUGGCAUCUGUGACAUGUGAGCAAAAAAUCCCGUUCUCUAAUGUACCAGCUGUCGUUGUUUUAGAAGCAUUGCCUCAUUCAUUUUCAGACUGGUUGGCUGAAGGUCUUUGCUCUAAGGUGAACAGUUCAAGAUUAUAGAUUUCAAUCUUCUUCCUUUGGGAUUCUGGGAUUUGCUGCUGUUGUUGACUUCAGUAGAAACAGGUUUGGACACCUAAUGCAUCUUAAAACCAAUGUGGGGAAGUGUCACGCGGUGAAUCUACUUGCAUUGGAUCUGUUCUGCAAGAUGUGUUACUGAUGGAGUUUUAAAUAAACACAGGGAUGUUUGGAAAUAUUUUGUGUAU